rnacentral:rRNA from 1 species
AGUUGGUGGGGUAAUGGCCCACCAAGCCCGUGAUCGGUAGCCGGCCUGAGAGGGUGAACGGCCACAUUGGAACUGAGACACGGUCCAAACUCCUACGGGAGGCAGCAGUGGGGAAUAUUGGGCAAUGGGGGGAACCCUGACCCAGCAACGCCGCGUGAGGGAAGAAGGUUUUCGGAUUGUAAACCUCUGUUCUUGGGGAAGAGUAGAAGACGGUACCCAAGGAGGAAGCCCCGGCUAACUACGUGCCAGCAGCCGCGGUAAUACGUAGGGGGCGAGCGUUGUCCGGAAUGAUUGGGCGUAAAGGGCGCGUAGGCGGCUUUGCAAGUCAGUAGUGGAAGUCCAUUUUUCAAGGAUGGAAGUGCUACAGAAACUGCGGAGCUUGAGUGCAGGAGAGGUUAUCGGAAUUCCCGGUGUAGCGGUGAAAUGCGUAGAGAUCGGGAGGAACACCAGUGGCGAAGGCGGGUAACUGGACUGCAACUGACGCUGAGGCGCGAAAGUGUGGGGAGCAAACAGGAUUAGAUACCCUGGUAGUCCACACUGUAAACGAUGAAUGCUAGGUGUAGGAGGUAUCGACCCCUUCUGUGCCGCAGUAAA